rnacentral:rRNA from 1 species
UACGAGGGGGGCGAGCGUUGUUCGGAAUUAUUGGGCGUAAAGGGCGCGUAGGCGGUCGGAUAAGUCUUGUGUGAAAUCUUCGGGCUCAACUCGAAGUCUGCACAGGAAACUAUCUGGCUUGAGUGUGGGAGAGGUGAGUGGAAUUCCUGGUGUAGCGGUGAAAUGCGUAGAUAUCAGGAGGAACACCUGUGGCGAAAGCGGCUCACUGGACCACAACGUGACGCUGAGGCGCGAAAGCUAGGGGAGCAAACAGG